rnacentral:misc_RNA from 1 species
AAGUCGUAACAUGGUUUCUGUAGGUGAACCUGCGGAAGGAUCAUUAACACGUAUCCAAACGUUAAGACCCCCCCCCCGUGAACCUUCAUCCUGCUCUUGUAACCCGCGUAGUUCGCAAUCUCUGAUAAAUCAUAGCCCGGAAAGUUGUAGUGAUUCAGAGACCUCUGGCUACGUGCGAACAUUGGUUCCCCAAGCAGUCAGUGUCGGAAAGUGUCAUUGAUUGUGCAAGGAUAGCGCUUCUACGAUUCCUGUAGACCGUACACUCGGGCAGGAGCUUUGCCAAAGGGUCCCCAUGCCCCGUAAUAACCCCACAGUUUAAUGUGAAGCUCAAUGUAAUACAUUGGGUAAAAAAACCGAACAACUGUUAACAAUGGAUAUCUUGGUUCUC